rnacentral:rRNA from 1 species
CCUACGGGAGGCAGCAGUGAGGAAUAUUGGUCAAUGGGCGGGAGCCUGAACCAGCCAAGUCGCGUGAGGGAAGACGGUCCUAUGGAUUGUAAACCUCUUUAGGCGGGGAGCAAUGCCGGGCACGCGUGCCCGGAGGGAUAGUACCCGCAGAAUAAGCAUCGGCUAACUCCGUGCCAGCAGCCGCGGUAAUACGGAGGCUGCGAGCGUUAUCCGGAUUUAGUGGGUUUAAAGGGUGCGUAGGCGGAUUUUUAAGUCAGCGGUAAAAUGUCCGGGCUCAACCCGGGCCUGCCGUUGAAACUGGGGAUCUUGAGUGGGCGAGAAGUAUGCGGAAGGCGUGGUGUAGAGGUGAAAUGCAUAGAUAUCACGCAGAACUCCGAUUGCGAAGGCAGCAUACCGGCGCCCGACUGACGCUGAGGCACGAAAGCGUGGGGAUCGAACAGGAUUAGAUACCCGGGUAGUC